GUGAGGAAUAUUGGUCAAUGGGCGAGAGCCUGAACCAGCCAAGUCGCGUGAAGGAUGAAGGUUUUAUGAAUUGUAAACUUCUUUUGCAGGGGAAUAAAGUACGGUACGUGUACCGUUUUGUAUGUACUCUGCGAAUAAGGAUCGGCUAACUCCGUGCCAGCAGCCGCGGUAAUACGGAGGAUCCAAGCGUUAUCCGGAUUUAUUGGGUUUAAAGGGUGCGCAGGCGGGUUGAUAAGUCAGCGGUGAAAGUUUGCAGCUUAACUGUAAAAUUGCCGUUGAUACUGUCGAUCUUGAGUGCAAAUGAGGUAAGCGGAAUGUGUUGUGUAGCGGUGAAAUGCUUAGAUAUAACACAGAACACCGAUUGCGAAGGCAGCUUACUGGGAUGCAACUGACGCUCAUGCACGAAAGCGUGAGGAUCAAACAGGAUUAGAUACCCGGGUAGUCC
rnacentral:rRNA from 1 species